GAUGAACGCUAGCGGCAGGCUUAACACAUGCAAGUCGAGGGGCAGCAUGGGACGGAGAUUCGUCGAAGUCCUGAUGGCGACCGGCGCAAGGGUGCGUAACGCGUGAGCAACUUGCCCGUUUCUGGGGAAUAACCGGUGGAAACGCCGACUAAUACCCCAUGGCAUCAACGAGAGGCAUCUUUUGUUGAUUAAAGAAUUUCGGAAACGGAUAGGCUCGCGUGACAUUAGCUAGAUGGCGGGGUAACGGCCCACCAUGGCGACGAUGUCUAGGGGUUCUGAGAGGAAGGUCCCCCACACUGGAACUGAGACACGGUCCAG
rnacentral:rRNA from 1 species